rnacentral:rRNA from 1 species
UACGUAGGGGGCUAGCGUUGUCCGGAAUCAUUGGGCGUAAAGCGCGUGUAGGCGGCCCGGUAAGUCCGCUGUGAAAGUCGGGGGCUCAACCCUCGGAUGCCGGUGGAUACUGUCGAGCUUGAGUACGGAAGAGGCGAGUGGAAUUCCUGGUGUAGCGGUGAAAUGCGCAGAUAUCAGGAGGAACACCAAUUGCGAAGGCAGCUCGCUGGGACGUUACUGACGCUGAGACGCGAAAGCGUGGGGAGCAAACAGG